UACGUAGGGUGCAAGCGUUGUCCGGAAUUAUUGGGCGUAAAGAGCUCGUAGGCGGUCUGUCACGUCGGCUGUGAAAACCCGAGGCUCAACCUCGGCCUGCAGUCGAUACGGGCAGACUAGAGUUCGGUAGGGGAGACUGGAAUUCCUGGUGUAGCGGUGAAAUGCGCAGAUAUCAGGAGGAACACCGGUGGCGAAGGCGGGUCUCUGGGCCGAAACUGACGCUGAGGAGCGAAGCGUGGGAG
rnacentral:rRNA from 1 species